AAAAGCGCACGCGCAGGAGAGGUAGUCAAUUUGCUGUAGUGUAGUGGGAUGGCAGAAUGUAUAGGAAGGAGGUUUCAAGCUUUAUAGCAGGAGUUAAUUAUGUUAUAAAUAAAAUGGCUAUAUUCAUAGAACACAUCUACUCCUAGUUUACAAAGUGAUCCCAAUUUAUUAGGUUUACCCAACGCGCUAAACCAUAAGCUAAGAAUGGAAUUGUUUGAGACUAAAAAGUGAUUUGUUUGUGGUUCUGUGUGCUGAACAAAUGCAGCCAAAAUAUGUUAGCUAUUCAGCAAGAACUUCGUGCAGGGGUCGUCCAAAUACUGGAAGCAUACGUUGAAGGCUUCUUUCAUUGUUUCUAUGCUCCCCCUAUUCAUUUAUCUUCAGUCUACAAGCUACUUGUGUCAAGCCAAGGUACAUUGUAACACUAAGAACAUGGAAAUUAAAAAAUUGAAACAGACAUUAAAACAAGAUAGCUUUGUUUGAAUGCUUAAACAAGCAAAGACAAUUUUAAUGUAAAGGAUUGAAAACACCUACAUAUAUGAAUAUGUUCUUUAAAAGUUCAGCAUUUACUAAGAGAAUGAAGGAUUGUAAUCAAAGGAAAUCCUGCCCGCUAAGCCACCAAUAAUUCAUGUAGAGAUGCAUUAGCCACACUGAAGAUUCCAUGGAUAUUAACUCGCACUUUAACUUUAACUUUUGAAUUAUCACCAUCGUUUUGGGGACCAACAUUUUGAAUAACAAAAUGGCCUAAAAAACACAGUAAUAUGGCACCGAAAAAAUUGCAAAUCUGUUCCUUCACAGCUGGAAUACGAGUUGCUCCACCUACUAUUUCUACACUGUAAAUAUCUUCACGCUGUAAUUCUAGGAGGCAAACAGGAGAUAAUUUGUUUUUAUGGAUGAAAAAUAUAAUCAGUUUUAGAGGAAAUGGGUUCACUUGGUGGAGAGACUUCAAGAAUGGAAGCAGUUUCUCUAUCAUACAUUGGCAUGUCUCUUCUGUUAACAUUAAAACCUACUUAAUAUUGAUUGAAAUUCUGUUUAAAAAAUGUACUUAUAAUUCUUAUAGGUAAUUGGGCUCUAAAUCUAAGUAUUAGAUAAGCAUGCUAAAUUAACAGUAAGAAAUUAAUGCCACAUAUAGGAAGAAAUCUGAUAGGUUCCAGAGCCUAGCAAAAGUGAAUACAUAAUGUAAAUAGAUAAUAACAAAAAUAAAUAGGUAUAGUAUGCAGUACUAAAUUGGCAGUGAAGAUUAACAGCUGGAAAAGGCUGUUUGAUCUGUUCAGUUUCAUUUAAAAAAGAUAACAAGACUUCCCCAAAAUGAUUUACAUGCCUUCCUUGGCUCUCUAAAGGGACAGAUAUAAAAGUAAGGAAAGCAGGUAUAUUGAAUAAUCUUUCUCUAAUAUUAACUUUUGGUUUUCAACCAAGGACUAAGUUAUUAGGAUUUCUGAUGUCCAGGUUGCAAAUGUUCAUGUUUCUGAAACCAAAACUGAUAUCCAGUAGAAGAAAAGUCUAAGGAGGUUUAUGACAACUCCAACUUCUAUAGAAAUGGGGAUAUUUUAACAAAAAUAAAGCAAUUCAAGUACAAGGGCUCAAAACAGUCCUAUAGAAGAAAAAAUUGUUCAAUGGCCAUGAAAUGAUCAGUGGCUGUUUGAGCAAAAUGGACUAUAAAGAAACUAGAAUCUUAAAAAAGAAGCAUUUCACACUGCAGCGUUUUAAAGCAAACUUCACUUGUUUUGCUCUACUCUGAUUUCUACUUCUUUUAUGAUUAUGAUUGGAAUAGGAAAAAAAUGGAAGCAUUUAUGAUAAAAUGCUUGUCUUCAGAUUGUCUGCACUUAAACCAUUAUCAGUGGAAAUAAAAACCAUCAGAAUCUUAAAUGAGCUUUGGGAUCAUCUGGAGACUGAAAACACAGAUAUCCUAUAUUGAACUUAUACAAUAUAACCAGAAGUUAAGUUCAGAACACUGUGCUCUGCUAGUGCAUGGAACAAUAUUUCAAAGUGACGGCCAAAUAGUGAGCAUCCCCAUUCAACAUAUGAACUAUAGCAAAUUAGUGACUAUUGACAAGUAUAAAAUAUAAAAUAGGGUUUUUUCCCCAUAGUUUUGAUUGUUUUCAUCUGUUUUCAUCUUCUACUGUACAUUUGUGCCUGCUACUUGACUACAGCAUCCUGUCUCUACAAAGUCUAUGAAUCCCAAGGACCUGUUACUUAAUUCUAAGACUCUUUUCUUGAGAUUCAUGAUUUUGGUUGCUUAUUCAGUGUUAGAUCUGAAUCUCUAUAUGUACAGUCUAGCUUUCCUUUCCUAAUCUAUCAAAUUUUCCUUCUAGCACAUUUUUUCUUUUCUUUCCAAACCAAUAAAGUAUUAAAACAUAAUUAUGUAC